GGGAGGCAGCAGUGGGGAAUAUUGGACAAUGGGCGCAAGCCUGAUCCAGCCAUGCCGCGUGAGUGAUGAAGGCCCUAGGGUUGUAAAGCUCUUUCACCCGAGAAGAUAAUGACGGUAUCCGGAGAAGAAGCCCCGGCUAACUUCGUGCCAGCAGCCGCGGUAAUACGAAGGGGGCUAGCGUUGUUCGGAAUUACUGGGCGUAAAGCGCACGUAGGCGGAUCGAUCAGUCAGGGGUGAAAUCCCAGGGCUCAACCCUGGAACUGCCUUUGAUACUGUCGAUCUGGAGUAUGGAAGAGGUGAGUGGAAUUCCGAGUGUAGAGGUGAAAUUCGUAGAUAUUCGGAGGAACACCAGUGGCGAAGGUAGCUCACUGGUCCAUUACUGACGGUCAGGAGCGAAAGCGU
rnacentral:rRNA from 1 species